GUCGAGCGAUGAAGCACCUUCGGGUGUGAAUUAGCGGCGAACGGGUGAGGAACACGUGAGAAAUCUGCCUUCAACUCUGGGAUAACUCCGUGAAAACGGGGCUAAUACCGGAUAUGAGAUCUACAGGCAUCUGUGGAUCUGGAAAGUUUUUCGGUUGAAGAUGAUCUCGCGGCCUAUCAGCUUGUUGGUGAGGUAAUGGCUCACCAAGGCGACGACGGGUAGCCGGCCUGAGAGGGCGACCGGCCACACUGGGACUGAGACACGGCCCAGACUCCUACGGGAGGCAGCAGUGGGGAAUAUUGGGCAAUGGAGGAAACUCUGACCCAGCGACGCCGCGUGCGGGAUGAAGGCCUUCGGGUUGUAAACCGCUUUCAGCAGGGAAGAAGCGAAAGUGACGGUACCUGCAGAAGAAGCACCGGCUAACUAUGUGCCAGCAGCCGCGGUAAUACAUAGGGUGCAAGCGUUGUCCGGAAUUAUUGGGCGUAAAGAGCUCGUAGGUGGUUCGUCACGUCGGAUGUGAAACUCUGGGGCUUAACCCCAGACCUGCAUUCGAUACGGGCGAGCUUGAGUAUGGUAGGGGAGUCUGGAAUUCCUGGUGUAGCGGUGGAAUGCGCAGAUAUCAGGAGGAACACCAAUGGCGAAGGCAGGACUCUGGGCCAUUACUGACACUGA
rnacentral:rRNA from 1 species